UACAGAGGGUGCGAGCGUUAAUCGGAAUUACUGGGCGUAAAGGGCUCGUAGGCGGCCAACUAAGUCAGACGUGAAAUCCCCAGGCUCAACCUGGGAACUGCGUCUGAUACUGGAUGGCUUGAAUCCGGGAGAGGGAUGCAGAAUUCCAGGUGUAGCGGUGAAAUGCGUAGAUAUCUGGAGGAAUACCGGUGGCGAAGGCGGCAUCCUGGACCGGCAUUGACGCUGAGGAGCGAAAGCCUGGGGAGCAACGGG
rnacentral:rRNA from 1 species